rnacentral:rRNA from 1 species
AUGAUAGGCAUCGUCUACCGCGACCUCAAGCCAGCCGUCGCCGAGGAGGAGGAACAGGAGGAGCCGCGCAGCGCGUCCUGCUUCCCGAUACGUUUCAAGCGGCGGAGGCAUCGUCGCCGGUGCGCGCGUCUCCCCCGCGUAUGUGGCCCCGGAGGUGGCAGGCGGCGGCGCGCAGGGCGCCGCCGUGGACUGGUGGGCCUACGGCGUGUUCCUCUACGAGCUCCUCCACGGCCGCUCCGCGUUCGCCGGCGCCACCAACGGGACACACUCCGCAACAUCGUCCGCGCGCCGCUCACCUUCCCCUCCUCCUCUGUCACCGGCUACCACGCCGACACCACCGCGGCGCGGGACCUCAUCGCGCGCCUGCUCACCAAGGACCCCGCCGCCCGCCUCGGGUCCCGCCACGGCGGCGCCGACGUGAAGGCCCAUCCCUUCUUCAAGAACCUCAACUUCGCGCUCCUCCGGUCAUCGCGUCCGCCCUCGUCCCCAGCGCCCCGCUGCACCGAUCGCAGUCGUGCAAGACGCCGGCGUCGCGCAAGGCUGACACGAAGCGCUUCGACCUCUUCUGACCGGCCGGCCGACUGCUAUCGAGAAAAGCAUCACAUGGGUGUUGGAGCUGUCUGGUUACAGGGCUGUGGUUUCAGGAUACCUGAGGUGCUUUUACCUCUUGUUUUGGACAAAAAAGGGACCGAGUCCCUGGAGGAGAUGCGUUCUCCUGGCGGCCGUGACACGAGGCAGAAAAUCGAAUCGGAAAGAGAAAAUCUAUCAGGGUACACAUCCAUCAAGCAGAACAGGACAAGGCAAAAGCUAGCUUUAGGAGUUGGGCUUAGGAGCAACGCCACGUGA